AUAUCAAUAAGCGGAGGAAAAGAAACCAACAGGGAUUGCCUCAGUAACGGCGAGUGAAGCGGCAACAGCUCAAAUUUGAAAUCUGGCGCAAGCCCGAGUUGUAAUUUGGAGAGGAUGCUUCUGGGUAGCGGUCGGCUUAAGUUUCUUGGAACAGAACGUCACAGAGGGUGAGAAUCCCGUAUGUGGUCGACAGGCACCCUUCACGUAGCUCCUUCGACGAGUCGAGUUGUUUGGGAAUGCAGCUCAAAAUGGGAGGUAAAUUUCUCCUAAGGCUAAAUACCGGCCAGAGACCGAUAGCGCACAAGUA
rnacentral:rRNA from 1 species